UGGCCAGGUAGCAUCCUGUGUUGUGCCAGCUGGCCCAGACCGUUGCUUUGCUUUUUUCGCACUAACUUGUCUUCAUUAUGCCGAAGAGAAAGUCUCCAGAGAACACAGAAGGCAAAGAUGGAACCAAACUAACUAAACAGGAGCCCACAAGACUGUCUGCCAGAUUGUCAGCGAAACCUCCUCCACCAAAACCUGACCCCAAACAAGAAAAACAUCUGUGAAGAAAGAACCUGGAGCAAAGAUAAGCAGAGGAGCUAAAGGGAAGGAGGAGGAAAAGCAGGAA